CCUACGGGGGGCAGCAGUGGGGAAUAUUGCGCAAUGGGCGAAAGCCUGACGCAGCGACGCCGCGUGAGGGAUGAAGGUCUUCGGAUCGUAAACCUCUGUCAGCAGGGAAGAACGGUCACUGUGCUAAUCAGCAGUGAAUUGACGGUACCUGCAAAGGAAGCACCGGCUAACUCCGUGCCAGCAGCCGCGGUAAUACGGAGGGUGCGAGCGUUAAUCGGACUUACUGGGCGUAAAGCGCUCGUAGGCGGUAUGUCAAGUCAAGGGUGAAAUCCCCGCGCUCAACGUGGGAACUGCCUUUGAAACUGGCAAACUGGAGUGUGUGAGAGGAUAGUGGAAUUCCAGGUGUAGGAGUGAAAGCCGUAGAUAUCUGGAGGAAAAUCAGUGGCGAAGGCGACUAUCUGGCACAUAACUGACGCUGAGGAGCGAAAGCGUGGGUAGCAAACAGGAUUAGAUACCCUGGUAGUC
rnacentral:rRNA from 1 species